UGUUUCGGUCUUGAAGCUUUUGUUGAAGCCACUUCAGGGCCUCCCAAAGAGCAAGGGUUUCAGCUAUGGAGGCUGUUGGAGCAAAAAUCUUCUUCGCAAAUCCGUCCAAGAGUACCCCGUCGGCGUUUUGACAGACCACCGCAGUUGAUCCCUAGGUCAUCAAGUUGUUCCAGGCCCAAUCGGUGUUGAUUUUCCAUCAGAUCUAAAGCGGAGAUGGAUCACUCACUACUGCAGAUCUUCGUUCUUCAGCUUGAGCAAGGCUCGUGUUACCAUAUUUCUCGACCAAGUUGACCGAGAUGAUUGCUUCAUCUAUGAUUACGCUCCACUUUGGUUUCAGAGCUUUAAAGAUGAAGUUAUUCCGCGCUUUCCAGAUCCGUCCGACCACUUCGGAAAAGAGGGCUUUGGAUUUCGAGGUUGCUUGCACGGGGCAUUUGAUGAAGGUAUGCUCCGUUGUUUCGGUAGCUUGGUUGCACAAGGGACAUUUCAGGUAUCAUAUUCCUCUUAUGCAAAUGUAAGACGGACGGCCCCCCUAGAUAGGCGAUAGGGUAGGGUGAGUGGUACCGCGCAUAUUGUGGCAAUCUUCCUACCUGUGCUUGCGCUGAGAUUCGAUACUAUCGCAUGACUUGACCUGCGCGUGGAGGGUGAGAGAGAGAGAGAGAGAGAGAGAGAAUGGAGGAUGAGAGGAAGAUGAGCAUCUCUGAAGCAGUGGUCAUGAAUGGAGGGAACGGGCCUUACAGUUACGAGCAGAACUCUUCCUAUCAGGUAUGCUAGUUUUUGUGUUGCUACUCGUGUUUGCGAACUUAGCGUCUUUUCUGUAUUUCAUUACCCCGCUUCGGCUGCAUCAAACACUAUCACCGUCGUAAAGUCAUUGGCAAAGACUCGAUUCAGCAGUUAAGAUAACCCUUAACAGGUGUACUCAAGCGAAAGGAGUCGCUGCCGCCGCCAUGGAUAUGAUCAAGGAAGCUUUACCCACAACCCUUGAUCUCUACCACCUCCCGUUAUCCUCUCCAAACCCCAUCAUCAGAAUAGCAGACUUCGGUUGCUCUACAGGACUCACAUCCAUCCAAGCCAUCGAAACCAUAGUACAAUGCCUCUUAGACCUCAUCAA